AGGGCUCAGGAUUCCGCUGGAAGAAUCUCAGCCAGAGUCCUGAACAGCAGCGGAAAGUGCUGACGUUGGAGAAGGAGGAUAACCAGACCUUCGGCUUUGAGAUCCAGACUUAUGGCCUUCACCACCGGGAGGAGCAGCGUGUGGAAAUGGUGACCUUUGUCUGCCGAGUUCAUGAGUCUAGCCCUGCCCAGCUGGCUGGGCUCACACCAGGGGACACCAUCGCCAGCGUCAAUGGCCUGAAUGUGGAAGGCAUCCGGCAUCGAGAGAUUGUGGACAUCAUUAAGGCGUCAGGCAAUGUUCUCAGACUGGAAACUCUAUAUGGGACAUCAAUUCGGAAGGCAGAACUGGAGGCUCGUCUGCAGUACCUGAAGCAAACCCUGUAUGAGAAGUGGGGAGAGUACAGGUCCCUAAUGGUGCAGGAGCAGCGGCUGGUGCAUGGCCUGGUGGUGAAGGACCCCAGCAUCUACGACACGCUGGAGUCGGUGCGCUCCUGCCUCUACGGCGCGGGCCUGCUCCCGGGCUCGCUGCCCUUCGGGCCUCUGCUCGCCGUGCCCGGGCGUCCCCGCGGAGGCGCCCGACGGGCCAGGGGCGACGCCGACGACGCCGUCUACCACACGUGCUUCUUCGGGGACUCCGAGCCGCCGGCGCUGCCGCCCCCGCCGCCCCCGGCCCGCGCCUUCGGCCCGGGCCCCGCGAGACCCCUGCCGUGGGGCUGGGCCCUGGGCCGCGGGCCGCGCUGAGCCGCAGCGCCAGUGUGCGGUGCGCGGGCCCUGGCGGGGGCGGAGGCGGGGGCGCGCCGGGCGCGCUCUGGACUGAGGCUCGCGAGCAGGCCCUAUGCGGCCCCGGCCUGCGCAAAACCAAGUACCGCAGCUUCCGCCGGCGGCUGCUCAAGUUCAUCCCCGGACUCAACCGCUCCCUGGAGGAGGAGGAGAGCCAGCUGUAGGGGCGGGGGCGGGCAGGGAGGUAUUUAUUUAUUUAUUCGCAACAGCCAGCGCUAAAAGAGGGGGAGGCCGAGCCAAGAGGACCCCAGGAGCCCAGAGCAGCGGGAGAGGGUCCUUCCUAGCCUCGGCCCGCCGGGUCGGUUCCUGGCUGGUGUCUGCUGAGGGAGUGGGGGGCCCAGCCCCUUCUCUUCUCCCCCGCCAAACCACAGUGGGAGCUGGGGCAGGGGGAGAACCAGGCAAUCGGGGGCCAAAGAUGGGGGUGCUCGCCUACAGUCUGCAUCUGUAGUGCCUUGUGGGGUAUCCAGGAACACCCUCCCAGCAGGGGAUGGGAACCCUGUCCCAUGAAGCCCUCUCCUCAGCUUUACUUGCUCCCCCGCCCUUAGCCUUGGGGAGAAAUGGCCUGUGGUGGGCUGACCCCCCACCCUCCACACACACAGUUCCAUGACCCAGCGGGCCCCCAGGGGCAUCAGGUGCUGGUCCUCCUCCCUCCUGGCCUCGACCCCUAAGGGCUUCGCCCCUCCCAGGGGCCUGUAACUAAGUCGGGUCCUGCCAGGCAGGGGGCCUGUGUUCUGUGCCCCUUGGGAGACAGGAACUGGCAGGUUCAGGUGGGGUGGGGACAGCACAGACUGUUCCACCGUUCUGCAUAUUGUUGCUUCUGAACCACAAACUGUAUAAAUGGAUGGUUUUUUGCA
rnacentral:sRNA from 1 species